AUAAUCACCUAAUCAAAGAGCUGAAGAGCUCUGAGGGAAAAGACGGCCAUUGUUUCAAUUUUUAGGGGGGUAUCUUUUGAUAGUCUACAUACAAAGAAUGAGCAAAAGAACAGCUAGAACAUAUAGAAAGGCUGACAAUAAUGAAACUAAUUGUUGUUUAUUGUUAUUUCAUUUCCUUAGUCAAGAAUUCAUCAUAGAGACAAUUUGGACCAAUGAGAUCUGCACCUUCUAAAUCAAAACAUUUGAUUUAAGUUGGGAGUUAAUUAUCUAAAAUUCAAUUGAAUUUAACAACUACUACAUUAUAUUUUAAAAUUUUAAUUAUGUACAACUGAACGGCAGGCUAAGACUAUUCUCAAUUUUUUGUGACAAUAUUCUCAAGAAAGUGAGGACUGAAAAAUCUAUUCAGUUUUAAUUUUCCAUUGAUAAAGUUCCCAGUUACAACUCUCAUCACAGGGAUACAUGUACUUAUAAAAUCAAAUAUGAUUGAUAUAAAAGCUGUGUGAAGUUUGUUUCCAGAUCCCACAUUUUGAUAUAUCUGUAAAAUUCAUGAAUAAAUAGCUUUAAACUACAACCAGGUGCUCCGCAGGGCGCAGCUUUAUACGACCGCAGAGGUCAAACCCUGAACAGUUGGGGCAAGUAUGGACAAAACAUUCAAGCGUGAUACAGCUCUGAAUUUGGAUUGUGAUCAAAUUUUUGACAUUACAUGGUUUUUUUUUACACAAAACAAAUGUCAAGAUUUUACAAAUCAAUUAAAGAUUUCUUCUUCAAACUUUUUAAAUCUAAAAUUAAAUAGUUGAUCAUGACACAGCAUAGGUUUCUGACACAGAACGAAUGUGGUCUAAUGAACUUAAAAGUUUUUUUUUGCCUUUGAGCAAUUCACUAUGCUGUUGAAUAUUAAUCCUCUCAAAAAAAUGUUUGAAGAAAUUUUCUUUUUAUUUAUGAAAUCUGAAAUGAGAAAAAUUUUAACCCCCCUUUUUUUCACAUCCCCGUUUCCCUUUUUCCAAAACUGAUAUCAAUUCAAAUUUCUAAUGGAGUUUGCAACAAUAACUACUCUUUUAAAUACAUCAUAAAAUAUUAAAAUGUAAAAUAAAGUGCUUGUUAUCACUGAAUGGUAAAGAUUGGUUGGUAGUAAAAGUGAAUAUACAUUGUUUAUUGUAUAAAACAAUAAAAA
rnacentral:lncRNA from 1 species